rnacentral:lncRNA from 1 species
UGCAAAUAUCAUCAAUGGAUGUAAAUAAAUAUCAAUGGCAUUUGCAUACUGAUGUAAAGGAUUGGUCAGGGGGAAGAGUCACCAGAUGGAAUUGAAUCAUUGUCUAGGAUUUAGGAGUGAUAUAUGCAAUCCUAAACCACUCCAGAUUGUUACAGGCGUGACUGUCCUGAUCCUGGUGAAGCAAACAGAAGAGCUUGGAAGAGCCAAUGUAUUUUAUAGCACUGGAGUGGAAGUGGAUCUGGUGAAUCUCAUGUGGACAUUUUGCCCACAUGGAUCCUGUGUGUCCCCAUCAUUUUGGAUCACCAUCACUCACAGUGCCAGGUGAGAGACAGGCAGGCACUCAGGAGUCACCUGAAUCUAAAAGAUUUAGCACUUACAGUUCCCCCCUCCCAGUUCUAUAUCCAUCACCCCUUUAUUCUAGACUUGUUUUCUUGCUCUUAAUUGAAAUAGAAUUUCCAUCCCAGCUUCAGAAUCCUGGCUUAGCAAACACCAAAUACUGAAACACCCUCUACUAAAAAAUAUUCACAGUUUAGCUGGUGAGUUCAAUCACAGACAGGAAACUGAAACAUUGAUCAGAUCCACAAAUGUUCCUUUACAAAGGAACUGUUCCAAUAUUAAAAACAUAAACAGUGAUUUCCUCCUGAAGAGUGUAUUUGUACUAACAGAAUUAAUUUAAUAUUUGCAGUGUUACAUAACCUUUGUUCUUUUGCCUGUGAGCACGCUGUAAAUAUGAG